CAAUAUUCAUUGAAGAUUCAUCCAUGUCUUCAAUGGCAUGAUAGUGCAUUUCUUUCUAUUGAUGCAUAGUGUUCCAUUGUAUGGAUGUACCACAGUUAAUUUCUUCAUUCACCUUUUGACAGAUAUGAUGACUACUUCCAGUUUUUGAUGAGUAUGAACAGAACUCCCAUGACCAUUCACGUGCAGGUGUGCAAGCUUUUGUAUAGGAAGAAAUUUUCAAGUCAAUUGGGUAAAUACUCAGAAACACAAAUGAUGAGGGAUAAGGCCCAGUGCAUGAUUGCAUCUCCUAGUUGGAAGGCUUCUGGUCUUCUAUGAGAGUCGCUGCCACAGCACAGCAACUGACAGACUGGUGGUGUGGUUCCACAACCGGGAAACAAACCCAGGCCACUGGAGUGGUGAGAGCAUUGAACUUUAACCACGAGACCACCAGGGCUGACUCUAAGACUAUUUUUUAAAUAACUUUCCCUACCAAAUGGACUUUACCAUGCAGACUACCUACAAAAACAAUCUUAUUAACCAAGUAAGUGAAGACCCAGUUCCUUUGCACCCCCAACCUCCUCAAAAUGAUGGAGUUGGCUACGAGAGGAACCUGAGGUGGAGACAUCCUCUCACACAGAAGACUCAACAUAGAAGAAUAGAGGAAGGAAGAGGAGCUGCACAAAUAGACAGUCAGAGGGAUAAAACGGGAAAGAGGACAGAGACAAGCACAGGUGACACAAAAACUUCCAGAAGGGUGCGGGAAUUCAAGGAGGUGGGCUGUCCAGCGAGGUGAGCCAUCUUCCUAUCUCCUGGAAAAGCGUUACUGGUAAAGAAAGGCCGCUUUAAGCCCUGGACGCUGAAGAUGAAGGACUUCCGAUCAUCUUCCGCGCCCUCUGGGCACCGCAGCAGCUGCAGUACCUUCAAGUCUCGCGAGAGUGCUCACCACGCUUCCCUCCAACCAGCUGAACUUGCACUGAAUCUAUCGCGAGAGCUCCAACUCUGGUUAACAGGGUUCACUCCAUCUUGUGUCCAGGCAGGCCAAGCUGGGAAAUUUCUAGCCGAUUACUAAUUUUAAUGUAAGUUUCAUGGCAGAUGAAUCUAAAUUAAGAAUGCACAUCAGUAUAUAUGAGUGUG
rnacentral:lncRNA from 1 species